GCCCUCGGCGUACUGCUCAGUAACACGUGGAUAACCUGCCCUAAGGAAGGGGAUAACCCCGGGAAACUGGGGAUAAUACCCUAUAGGUUACAGAUGCUGGAAUGCUCUGUAACCCAAAGUUCCGACGCCUUAGGAUGGAUCUGCGGCCGAUUAGGUUGUUGUUGGGGUAACGGCCCAACAAGCCAGUAAUCGGUACGGGUUGUGGGAGCAAGAGCCCGGAGUUGGAUUCUGAGACACGAAUCCAGGCCCUACGGGGCGCAGCAGGCGCGAAAACUUUACAAUGCGGGCAACCGUGAUAAGGGAACCUCGAGUGCCUGUAUAUGCAGGCUGUCCAGGUGUCUAAAUCACACCUGAAGAAAGGGCCGGGCAAGACCGGUGCCAGCCGCCGCGGUAAUACCGGCGGCUCGAGUGGUGGCCACUUUUAUUGGGCUUAAAGCGUUCGUAGCUGGGUUGUUAAGUCUCUUGGGAAAUCCGACGGCUCAACCGUCGGGCGUCUAAGAGAUACUGGCAAUCUUGGAACCGGGAGAGGUGAGGGGUACUUCGGGGGUAGGAGUGAAAUCCUGUAAUCCUCGAGGGACCACCUGUGGGCGAAGGCNCCUCACCAGAACGGCUUCGACAGUGAGGGACNAAAGCUGGGGGAGCAAACCGGAUUANAUACCCGGGUAGUCCCAGCCGUAAACGAUG
rnacentral:rRNA from 1 species